AUACUUACAGGGCACUGAAGUCACUGUGAUCAAGAAGGCAGUGCUUCCAGAUCGAGGCUCCUAUUGCACUUCAGGAGCUGUAACUCUGCGUGCUCCCUAAGUAUAGGGUGCACGGUGUACAAUUUUUGGUAGUAGGGUUGACCUGCGUACGCGCUUGUCUACCCGU